rnacentral:rRNA from 1 species
AUUGAACGCUAGCGGGAUGCCUUACACAUGCAAGUCGAACGGAGUGGCGAACGGGUGAGUAAUGUAUCGGAACGUGCCCAGUAGCGGGGGAUAACUACGCGAAAGCGUAGCUAAUACCGCAUACUAUUGGAGCGGCCGAUAUCGGAUUAGCUAGUUGGGGGGGUAACGGCUCACCAAGGCGAAGAUCCGUAGCUGGUUUGAGAGAACGACCAGCCACACUGGGACUGAGACACGGCCCAGACUCCACCUCGAGGACUCAGUGUGCAUGUUUGGACCGUCGGGGCAACCCUGCUCCAGCCAUCCCGCGUGUGCGUUUGGGGCCUUCGGGUUUUACCGCACUUUUGGCAGGAAAGCGGUACCUGCAGAAUAAGCACCGGCUAACUACGUGCCAGCAGCCGCGGUAAUAC